rnacentral:rRNA from 1 species
UACGUAGGGAGCAAGCGUUAUCCGGAUUCACUGGGUUUAAAGGGUGCGUAGGAGGGCAGGUAAGUCAGUGGUGAAAUCUCCGAGCUUAACUUGGAAACUGCCAUUGAUACUAUCUGUCUUGAAUAUUGUGGAGGUGAGCGGAAUAUGUCAUGUAGCGGUGAAAUGCUUAGAUAUGACAUAGAACACCAAUUGCGAAGGCAGCUCACUACACGAGCAUUGACUCUGAGGCACGAAAGCGUGGGGAUCAAACAGG